rnacentral:tRNA from 3 species
CAGGGUGUAGCUAAGAUAGUAAAGCAUCUCCCUUACACCGAGAAGUCGCCCGUGCGAACCGAGUCACCCUGA